CGUAUUCCGAAGUCCAAAAUGUCAAAUGAAACAAAACAUCUCGUCGUAUGAUUAAUUAAACACUCAUAUGUAAUUUUAUUUAAGUGAAUUUGGCUGUUUAAUCCACAAAAAUGGGUGCUUUAACUAGCAGACAACACGCUGGCGUGGAGGAGGCCGAUGUUACAUCGAAUCACGCGUAUAAAUAUCCCCCUAGAUCGGGUAAUUAUUUUGGAAGCCACUUCAUCAUGGGUGGUGAAAGGUUUGACACACCACAGCCUGAGGCUUACCUGUUUGGGGAGAAUGCUGAUCUAAACUUCUUGGGAAGCAGACCCACUCCAUUCCCAUACCCACCACCACAAUCAAAUGAGCCAACGAAAACACUAAAGAGUCUUGUGAACAUCCGCAAAGAGUCCCUACGAUUUGUGCGUUGUCCGGAACCAGUGGGCAAGCUGGCAGAGAACAAGAUCAGUGAUGGAGGCAUCAUCAAGACCUUGGACAGCAAUGGGAAAGGAACAUAUUACAAUAUAGAGUUCACGUUUGACUGUGACGCCAGAUGUGCGAUCACUAUAUUCUAUUUUUGCACUGAGGAAGUUACACCGACUGGUGUUGUUUACUACCCUCGCGACGCGGCAAUGACGUCACAAACGUACCACUAUAAGAAAGGUGCCAACCAGCAGUUCUGUCAAAUUGCGCAUGUGUUCGACCCGUCCAAGUACCCUGAGGAAGACUUGUUAUACAAUGCUGAUAGAGAGAUCAUACCGAUAGCGAUAUACUGCGUGGUUGACGAGGGACAAGAAGCUGAGAUAAGACAGUCGCACACCACAAUAGCAGUGGUUGAGAAGCACUCUGACGGUACAUAUGUCCUGAAGGCGUUGAAACAGAAGCUGUUCGUGGACGGACUCUGCUACCUGCUGCAGGAGAUAUACGGCAUCGAGAACAAGAACCUGGACACCAAGCCGAGUUCCGACGAGGAGACAGAGGAUGGAGGUUCAGAGUGUGUGAUCUGUAUGUGCGACAUGCGAGACACUCUGAUCCUGCCGUGCCGACAUCUCUGCCUGUGCAACUCCUGCGCAGACUCGUUGCGCUACCAAGCCAAUAACUGUCCCAUUUGCAGGGCCCCGUUCCGCGCGCUACUCCAGAUCCGAGCUCUCCAACGCCUGCCGGGCACUGACGCCUCGGCUGUCUCCGAGACCGGGGUGGACGGCGUGCCGCCGGGGUACGAGCCGGUGUCGCUCAUCGAGGCGCUGAACGGACCCCACGGACCCAGGGCGCUGGCCCCACCGGCGAGACCUGCACCGACUAUCGCCAGUCCUGAUACUGAUACCGCAUCGCAGGCUGCUGAAAUCCUGAACCGUUGUAACUUGGAGCGCAGUUCCUCUACCAGCCUCGGCAGCAGUAGCAGCAGGAAGCUCAAGAGCGGCUCCAAGGACGACGUCAAGAGCAUACGUGAUAGAUCCGCAACACAGACCAUCACGCCUGAGUUCCGCAUGUCAGUGCUGCUGGCCCGCGAGGAGGAAGCCAAUAAGCGCGCCGAAGAGAAGACAGCGGCGAACAGUCCCCUGCUCUACAACCACAAGCCGCUCAACUGUAAUGAAAAGAUUUCAAAGUCGUCUAUAAGCCUGGAGUACCCCGGCGUGUCGGUGUGCGCGGAGGCGGCGUGCUCGGAGGACGAGGCGCGGCGCGUGGACGACAGCGACGCCGAGAGACUCUCGCCUCUGCUCGCGCAGCUGCCCGUCGCGCCUGUCGGGGUGUUGACGCGCGGCUCGUCGGUGUCGUCCCUGUGCGCGCCGGCGGGGACUGCGGUGUCGCCGGCGAGCGCGGCGCUGCGCCUCUCCGCGCCGGCGCUCGCGCACAUCGACGACGCGCCCGACACCGACGCCGAUGCCGACGCUGCGGCUAUGUGAGCCGACCGGUAACGGCGAGUGCACCCCGCAGCGCUGGGCCCUGCCGCAUCACGUCACUUCCUUGCCUGGCACGCCGCUAAGCCAAUCGAGCGUGCGGUCAUCAGGCGACUCGUACAGCUCGACGUCGUCCACGCGCCAGCUGCUAG
rnacentral:misc_RNA from 1 species